GCGGUACCUUCUUGUGGUUUUCAAGAUUGGGCGUGUGGACAGCGUUUUCCACAGGGACCCACAGCCACAGCUGGGGCGCCCUGCAGCCCUUUCAUGCCUGGCAGUCACAACCUUUAAUUUUUGGGGGGGAUGGGAGGCCCUGUGGUGUUGUUGGUUUUAUUCAGGGUUUUGGCUUACAGAGAAUCUUGAUGAUUUCUUUGUUAUUGUACAGUAACCAAGACUGACGGUCGGCAAGUCAUGUGGCAGUGCCCCGACACCUUCACAGGCCAGCGAGCCCAGAGGGAAAAGUGCGGUGGGUGAGCUGACCCGGGGACCCUACCGCCCGCUCGCCCGCCUGCAGCUGCCUCGAACUCUUGCUCAAGAACUUUCCCAGGCUCUGGGCGUGUGUCAGAGUUGCAAAAAUAACAAAUGGACCUUCACUGUUUGUCUCUUAAGUAAGGAGAAGUAUGAUGUGUUUUCUAGUGAGGAACAGAAUGAGGUUUGGUUCCUAGAAGAUGACCAGGCCUUGGAGGGAUGCUCGGUCCCCGCUUGCUACAUAGUCGGCCUGGAGUAGGAGUUGGGCAGAUGAAUUCCAGGACCGUUGUAUGCAAAGGCACAAUAUUUACAUGCAUCUGGUACAUACCCUCCCAUACACUUAAGCCAUCUCUGGACCACUUAUAAUAACUAGUGCAAUGUAAAGUGUGAGGUAAAAGAGUUCUUAGGCUGUAGUUUUUAUUUGCAUUAUCGUAAUAAGAGUUUUAAUUGUUUUUCUAUUUUAAUAUUUCCUAUCCGAGGCUUCCUGCAGAUGAGGCUCUGGAAUGCACAGGGAGAGAGGGUUGCCUGGGUUGCAGCUUUGAAUUCUUCCCGAGCAGGUGCUCACAGCGUGCCUCUCGGUGCAGUUCCUGAUAUUUCUGGUAAUGCACUUUUGUAGAGUUAUGGAGUUGUCUGCCUAGAAAAUUACGCAAGCCUUGGAAAUAAGCACAGAGUAGAAAUCUAUGUUGUUUUACUGCCAUAUGUACUGGAGCCCUGCCCAACUGUUGUUUAAAUCUCCGGGGAAUGUACCUUUGUGUCACGUGGGACUAACUAGUAAUUAGGACCCAGACCCGCCAGAGGCUGCAAGUUCCUGGUAGAAGCGACCUAAGGGAGACAAAUAGGAGACAGAAAACAUGAAAAAUUUAUCCAGUAGUCGGAAGGAAAGCUUACGAGCAGCUGUGUCCCUUCAGCGCCAUCCCAGAAAGACGUCACCUUUGGGCAGGUUGUGUUCCUGGCCGGAAGAAACCACAGGAUCCACAGGCCAUGGUUCUUGUUUUUCUGGAACCAUUAACCAACCAAACCCAAUCAGCUGGAGGAGAGAGUUUGGAUCAUGGUGUUGGGCUGUGAGCUUCCGGUUUCUAUGGUGAGUGCAGCUGGCUUUUCUGGGGCUGAGGGUGGGGCUGAGCUCUGAGAGUAGCCCCAGUCCGUGGUUGGGUCCGGUGGGAGGUCUCUGAGAUCAUGGUGGUUCCUGAGCCUACAGUGGAGCUGUCCUGGCCUGUCCUCAACUAAUGGGGACUCUCGGGACCUGCUGCUGCUUGGAUGCACCUUUCUCUCUCAGCAUCGCAACUUGUAAAGCUAUUUAUUUGCAUCCCCGGUCUCUUUUAAAACGCCCCAUUUCCCAGGUGCCUGCGCUGCACCACAUUCAUAGAUGUGUGUCCAGCCACCUCAGGCUUGUUUAUCUUACAACUCACCAAUUCGGCUCCUUGGAAAACCCUGCCUGGGUGGCGCGGACAUAGGGCUGCCGUUGUAACAGAACAUCGUUGGAAGGGCUGAUUACACAUUAUGGUGUCACUUGGGUGUGGUGGUGCACGCCAGUAAUCCCAGCCCUUGGAAGGCUGAGGUAGGAGGAUCCUUGCGAGUUCAAGACCAGCCUGGGCUACAAAGUGAGCUCAAGGCCAGCCUGAACUGCAUAGUGAGAGCCUGUCUCAAAAAGACAAAAUUUAAAAAAAAAUGGCAUGUGUGUGUGUGCAUGCACAUGCAUGUGUGUUACAAUAAAAACAUUUUAUUACAGUAAACGAUACAUUGUUGUUAUCCCCCAAAUGUCCUUCCCUUGCUUCUACCACACUUAUUCCAUCAUUCUUGCCUCGUCCUGCAGCAGGUCUGAAAGUCUUCUUUCAUGAGGGUCUUUACACGGGGUGAUCAAAAAUGAGGGGAAUGCUGCUAUCAAGCGCCAUUCAACAGAAAGGCAGGUUUGUAAAGACAGAAAGAAAGAAACUGUCUUCAUCCACCAUGUUCACCAGAUCUGGGACCAUGUGACUCCUCCUUAAAAUGACCAUGAGAGGUCAUCGUUUGGAAUUUACCCAGGACAUCCAGGCAGCCAUGAGUGUGCAAGUAGACACACAAAUUGGACCUCCAGAACUGUCCCAGAGGUGGCAAGGACAGUGAGUAGGAGUCUCUUGAGAGAGGGAUUAGUAGUCAAGUGUCUUUCACUGUAAUGAUUUGUAACAAUGUAAAUCUGGCCCUAUUUUGUGAUCACCUUAUAAGCUUCUGUGAACCACAAAUGAAGUUUGAAAAUGUACACAGUGGACCAGCUUCUCUCCUCUUGCUCACUCUUUCCUAGGGCCACGUGUGCAUAACACACACACACACACACACACACACACACACGCACACACACACACACGUGAGGACAUCCCACUCUGUGCCACAAAGCAGGCUCUGAGCGUGAGAGCACACAGGAACUCUGCUCUGGUGAGCUUAAUUUGGGCUGUGUGAUUGUCUUGUGGUUACUCUGCCCCAAGGCCAGACCACAGCGAGGGGCCCCCUCCCUCCGCAACCACACCAAAGUGGGGGAAGGGACCUGGGGCAACAAAGGAAGAGCUUUUCCCAUCCCCGUGAGAAGGUGACCGCAGCAGCCUGCCUGGAAGGUUCUGGGGUGGGGGCCGUGGCUGGUUCUGAACUUUGUCUCUGGGAAGUUUGGGUUACAGCUGAGUACAGAGGCCACAGGGAGACACUCGCCCUGGGCUUCUUCCUUGACUAGUAUACUUGGUCACUACAGAGGGCAGAGGCUUGGUGGCACGACCAGCUGGCCAGAUCAUUAAGCCCAAACGGCGCUGUGCUCAGGGAGUGCUCCUUUGACCUCACUCUGGCCAGUCCUUCUCCCCUCCCUGGCUUCCUAUCCUCUAUCUAGCAAUCCAUUAAGUUCAGUAUUUUAUAAAUGAGUCCCAUGAGGCCUUGUUUUGGAAACUGGAUUUAGUGAGUAAGGCACAUGCCUAUGUUUUGAUCACUUCUCUCUCUUGAUAUCCAGAAGGAAUAAAGUAAUUAGCAAUACAUUUCAGGCUGAUGGGACUUGUCAGUUCUGUGGUCGGAGGGCAGUUUUUUAGAGAGGUGGUCUAGUAUAGGGUUGAGGGCUGGACUUGGACAUCAGCCGGGCUUGGGCUGCCCUGUAGCAAUGCCCAUGCAUUCCAGUUUCUCCGUCUGAGAAAUGGGAAUGAUGGUGUCCCCAGGGUUAUUGUGAGGUGUCCUGGUCUAGCUCAUGGGGAGGGCUCCUAGUAAUGGUGGCCAUUGUUAAGUUGUUGGUGGGCUGGGAUGGCGCAGAGGCCCUUAGAGGAGGACCUUAUUGGAGAAAAUGCAGGUUCCAGGUCUCAGUGGGAGCAGGGAGCCCCUGCUGGCUGAUCAGGAAGGUUGUGGGGCUUGGGGACCCCAGUUGCUCAGGGCUCUAUGGCUCUCGGCCUCCAUGUUGGUGAGCUGGUGAGGGACCCCAGGCUGAGCAGGUGCCUUGUGGCAGAUGAGUCCCUGCAGGACUGUGCAGGGGAAUGACUGCAGGGAUGAAAGAGGAGGGUGAAGCUGGGCCUGGUGCCUUGUGCCUGGGUCUCUAGAGUUCAGCAGGCAGAGGCAGGAGGAUGGCAAGUUAAAGGUCACUUAGCCCACAUAGCGAGAGCCUGUCAGAAAACCAGAAAUACACAGGAGGGCUUAAUGGGAAGUACAGACACUUGUGGAGAGAAGUGGGUGUUUGAAAUCAGUGGAUGAGCUGUUCUGUAUGUGGGAGGAGGCAUGACUCCUUAGAAGGCCAGGGCCAGUCCUGCUUUCCUGCCUCAAUG